rnacentral:rRNA from 1 species
GGGCCCGCACAAGCAGUGGAGUAUGUGGUUUAAUUCGAAGCAACGCGAAGAACCUUACCAGGGCUUGACAUAUACCGGAAUUACCAAGAGAUUGGUAAGUCUUUCGGGACUGGUAUACAGGUGGUGCAUGGUUGUCGUCAGCUCGUGUCGUGAGAUGUUGGGUUAAGUCCCGCAACGAGCGCAACCCUUGUCGUUAGUUGCCAUCAUUAAGUUGGGCACUCUAGCGAGACUGCCGGUGACAAAUCGGAGGAAGGUGGGGACGACGUCAAAUCAUCAUGCCCCUUAUGUCCUGGGCUACACACGUACUACAAUGGCUACAACAGCGGGGAGCGAAGGAGCAAUCCGGAGCGAAUCCUGAAAAGUAGUCCCAGUUCGGAUUGUGGGCUGCAACCCGCCCACAUGAAGUCGGAAUUGCUAGUAAUGGCAGGUCAGCAUACUGCCGUGAAUACGUUCCCGGGCCUU